rnacentral:rRNA from 1 species
AUUGAACGCUGGCGGCAGGCCUAACACAUGCAAGUCGAGCGGGGAUUGAUGAGGUGCUUGCACUGAUUCAAUUCUAGCGGCGGACGGGUGAGUAACGCGUGAGCAAUCUGUCCUACACAGGGGGAUAACACUUGGAAACAGGUGCUAAUACCGCAUAAGACCACGAGGUCGCAUGGCCACGGGGUAAAAGAUUUAUCGGUGUAGGGUGAGCUCGCGUCCCAUUAGCUAGUUGGUGAGGUAACGGCCCACCAAGGCGACGAUGGGUAGCCGACCUGAGAGGGUGAUCGGCCACAUUGGAACUGAGACACGGUCCAG